GACGAAGGAUGCAAGCGUUAUCCGGAUUCAUUGGGUUUAAAGGGAGCGUAGGUGGCCUUAUAAGUCAGUGGUGAAAUCUCUGGGCUUAACCCAGAAAUUGCCAUUGAUACUGUAGGGCUUGAGUAUAGUUGCCGUUGGCGGAAUAUGACAUGUAGUGGUGAAAUACAUAGAGAUGUCAUAGAACACCGAUUGCGAAGGCAGCUAACGAAACUAUAACUGACACUGAGGCUCGAAAGUGCGGGGAUCAAACCGG
rnacentral:rRNA from 1 species